AACGAACGCUGGCGGCAGGCCUAACACAUGCAAGUCGAACGCUCCAGCAAUGGAGAGUGGCAGACGGGUGAGUAACGCGUGGGAACCUACCCUUUGGUUCGGAAUAGCCCAGGGAAACUUGGGGUAAUACCGGAUAAGCCCUUCGGGGGAAAGAUUUAUCGCCAUUGGAUGGGCCCGCGUCGGAUUAGCUAGUUGGUGGGGUAAUGGCCUACCAAGGCGACGAUCCGUAGCUGGUCUGAGAGGAUGAUCAGCCACACUGGGACUGAGACACGGCCCAGACUCCUACGGGAGGCAGCAGUGGGGAAUAUUGGACAAUGGGCGCAAGCCUGAUCCAGCCAUGCCGCGUGAGUGACGAAGGUCUUCGGAUUGUAAAGCUCUUUUGGCGGGGACGAUAAUGACGGUACCCGCAGAAUAAGCUCCGGCUAACUUCGUGCCAGCAGCCGCCGCAG
rnacentral:rRNA from 1 species